AAAUUGGGAAACUCAUCAAAUUAUAAAGAAAUACCGAGACAAGCUUAGUCGUCAAUGGCGGGCCCCACAUCUUAUGAUGAUGGUCUCCUUAGACCACAGGCGGAUUACAAAGAUGGCCAAGCCCUCAAAACCUGUCGUUCGGAGUUUCGUCACAUUC
rnacentral:sRNA from 1 species